rnacentral:rRNA from 1 species
UACGUAGGGUGCGAGCGUUGUCCGGAAUUAUUGGGCGUAAAGAGCUUGUAGGCGGUUUGUUGCGUCUGCUGUGAAAUUUCGGGGCUCAACCCCGAACUUGCAGUGGGUACGGGCAGACUAGAGUGUGGUAGGGGAGACUGGAAUUCCUGGUGUAGCGGUGAAAUGCGCAGAUACCAGGAGGAACACCGGUGGCGAAGGCGGGUCUCUGGGCAGUAACUGACGCUGAGGAGCGAAAGCGUGGGGAGCGAACAGG